UGUGCACGCGUCAAAUAAGCAUGCGCGAAAUAAACGGCUGCAAGCGGUCCUGCUCACGUCAAAUUAACGCCUACAGCUGCUAAAUAUACACCUACACAUGCUAACUUAACGCAGUCUUUAAUAUGCUAAUUUUACCAGCCAAUUUCCCUAGCUCCUCCUUUCAUUAAACCGGCGUACAGUCAGUUUGAUGCAACAACUCCACAAUUGAAGAUGGCGAGAAGGAACUUCCAUAUCAGCUGCAAACAGACCCUAAAUGGCUGCACUCGGCUUCUGCUCUCCGUUAAUCCUGGACUUGAUGCCCUUCAGUGCACAUUAACAAGAAUGGAAACCAUGCAGAGGAGGUUUCUGAUGUCCUGUACUUUCAGUGUGUCUCAGAUGGCAGAUAUUCUACAUGUGUCCUGAUCGACAGUCAAACGUUGUCUAAGAUACUUCAAUUUGUUACAUGCACCAACCAUUAUAUUCUGACAUGUCAGACUCUGCUCUGGAUGAAAAGAUUAAGGACUUGGUGGCUGGGAACGACAAAUGUGGAGCGGAGGCUGUUCGAUCACAAUUAAGGGCUCUGGGUGCAGAGACUCAGAUUGAGGGACAGCAUGCUUCGUGUUAACCCGAGGGCGGCUGCCCUUAGAGCCAUGUCGCAGAGGCUGCAUAGAAGGUCAUACCGUGUUGCUGGACCAAACUCGUUAUGGCACCUUCAUGGAAACCACAAUCUGAUAAGAUAGAUGUAUCUUUGAUAGACAAUUAUCUAUAUCACUGGUGAGAAGUUGUACAUUUGUUACGCACGCCUCUAAGAAGAGGGAACGCAACACCCUACUACAACUCAACUCCCCAUGAAGUGAAAGAGGUAUGGGACUGUAGGUGCGAGUAAGGAUGACAAAAGGCAGAGAAGUUACCAUUUACUGGGAAUUUAUUCCUUCACAUGGUAAUAUGGGGGAAAGGGGCUGGACGGAACCAAAGCAAGGAAAGUAAAUAUCAAAGCCCCCUCUCCUACCUUACCUGCCUACCCACUACUUACCACCACCUGGUGCGCUAACCAAAAUACAGGGGGUGGUCCACCCAGGUCUUACCUAGUGUGUCUAGACAGUGAAUAUACUACGGGUAUUUGUAUGCCCGCGGGCCUCUUGCCUAAGCACUCCCUCGGUGCCUUCCCCUUCCCCCCUGGAAACAAAUGAACCAGAAUAUUAAACAAUUUCACAAACAAACUGAGAAACACAGGACAUUAAAUAAGCUCUAUCUGACUGAGCAACAAACUAACACAGAACAUACCAAAGCUGUUCCCAGCAACAACUAACACAGUAAAUAACCCACAGCCAUCAGCCUCCUCUCUCAGCAAUCAUCUCUCUUGAACAACAGAACACUGGCUUUUAUAUAGCUUCAGAAGGAGUCUAAUCAGAUACAGCUGUAACUUGAUGAGGGGGUGGGGUCAGCUCCAAUUAGCCAUGGAGUCGACCAAUCAGCUGCUUGGGGGAUUUCAGGAAGCCACCCUGAAACACACACAUAACAAACCACAACACAGAAACUGGGGAACGUAACAACAUUGUAACAGCUCAAAUUGUUCAUCAACAACUAACAAUUCAGUAAGCAAUGGCCCUUGAUACCAUAUGUUACUCAUGUGGAUAAUAAUUGUUUUAUUGUGUUUCUGCUACAUGAAAUUAACAAACAUGCUUAUAUUGAGGACAUACGGAGGCAAAAACAGUUGGAGCAAAGUAUUUGUGCCAAAGUGUGAACAACAGGAGAGUCUGUCCUCUUGACUCAUCAAUAUAAACGUGGUUAUUUUUCCUAAUUGAAGUAGAUAAUGUAAUCACACAUCUUCCGCUGCAGGAAACAGUCUAGAACAAACCCUUGUUGUAGCCUUUAGAGGGCUAACGGAAGUACUUAUAGUUGUGAUCAGCGGGAGACUCUUCAUUAACAUUGUUCCACAUUUUGGAUGUUAAUGUAAUAUUUGGUCUGCUGCUUUGUUAUAUACUGGAGGAACCUGAUGCAGCAUUUAAGCGGUAAAGGAGGAUGGUGAUGUUUGUAUAUUUAAUGUGUCUUCAGCUUUUGUAUCAACCAGUGCUGUAUUUUCUGAUUUAGGUGGAGGAUAGUCAUACAUGGUGGCAUUGAUGGGUACAGCCGUCUCGUUGUUUCUCCGUGCUUCCAGCAGCAAUCGCAGCAGUACUGUAAUGGAUUGCUUCGUGAAUGCUGUCUCCAGAUAUGGCGUUCCCUCCAGAGUUAGGACGGACCAUGGAGGAGAAAACGACACUGUCUGCUUGUUGAAUGUAAUACACAUUGAAAAUAUUAUUUAAAAAAAUAGAGCUACAUGCAUCCUUAAAAUGUCUUCUUGACCUACACAUUGAUUACAUUCUAUAGUGAGUGAUGUAUGCGGCUACAUUUUUUUCUGUAAAUCAUUUUUAGAACGCAAUCACAUUAUGUUUGCAAGCUUUAGUGCUUUCUCCAUGUUUUUGAAAUGUAUAAGCCUUUAAAUGACAUUUAACUGACUACUUCUACAAACAAGGCUACACUUGUGACAGCACCUAUUCCUGUGCCCCCCCCCCCCCCUAUAUCACUUCCUGUGGCCUCCCCUCCACCAUUCCCUGAGGCUUAUUGUCCACCUUCCCCACACUCUUCUGUUGAUUUUGAGGACAAUGAGCAAGUAAUCCCUGUAAAUAAUUCAAUGUCUUGUUAUUACAGAUGAAUUGUGGGAAGUAUCUGAGCUUUUUUAUUCUGAAUGUCUUUUUUUUAGUGGUGACCUCCAAACACUGCUAAAGAGUUAAUGAGAGGCCAACCAAGUUAACGUGAUGAUUGUGCAAUGAGAGGCUUUAAGAGAGCCCGCUUUAGUCCGGAGGAAAAAAUAGACAUGGUUUUUAGGGAUGCUGACAGAAAAGGGUCUGCUGAGGAUGGUCCCUCGAGAAUUUCUCCGGCUGCUAAUGAGUGCCAUCCAUUCCUCUGCAAUAUUUGAGGGACCUGCUUGGCAAAAAUGUCUUUCUUGCAACUCUCAAGGUGAGUUACACUUUUACACUAACAAAGACACAUUUGUUUAUGGCAAUAUACACUGCUCAAAAAAAUAAAGGGAACACUAAAAUAACACAUCCUAGAUCUGAAUGAAUGAAAUAUUCUUAUUAAAUACUUUUUUCUUUACAUAGUUGAAUGUGCUGACAACAAAAUCACACAAAAAUGAUCAAUGGAAAUCAAAUUUAUCAACCCAUGGAGGUCUGGAUUUGGAGUCAUGCUCAAAAUUAAAGUGGAAAACCACACUACAGGCUGAUCCAACUUUGAUAUAAUGUCCUUAAAAAAAGUCAAAAUGAGGCUCAGUAGUGUGUGUGGCCUCCAUGUGCCUGUAUGACCUCCCUACAACGCCUGGGCAUGCUCCUGAUGAGGUGGCGGAUGGUCUCCUGAGGGAUCUCCUCCCAGACCUGGACUAAAGCAUCCGCCAACUCCUGGACAGUGUGGUGCAACGUGGCGUUGGUGGAUGGAGCCAGACAUGAUGUCCCAGAUGUGCUCAAUUGGAUUCAGGUCUGGGGAACGGGCGGGCCAGUCCAUAGCAUCAAUGCCUUCCUCUUGCAGGAACUGCUGACACACUCCAGCCACAUGAGGUCUAGCAUUGUCUUGCAUUAGGAGGAACCCAGGGCCAACCGCACCAGCAUAUGGUCUCACAAGGGGUCUGAGGAUCUCAUCUCGGUACCUAAUGGCAUUUAGGCUACCUCUGGCGAGCACCCAAAGAAAUGCCACUCCACACCAUGACUGACCCACUGCCAAACCGGUCAUGCUGGAGGAUGUUGCAGGCAGCAGAACGUUCUCCACGGCGUCUCCAGACUGUCACGUCUGUCACAUGUGCUCAGUGUGAAACUGCUUUCAUCUGUGAAGAGCACAGGGCGCCAGUGGCGAAUUUGCCAAUCUUGGUGUUCUCUGCCAAAUGCCAAACGUCCUGCACGGUGUUGGGCUGUAAGCACAAGCCCCACUUGUGGACGUCGGGCCCUCUUACUACCCUCAUGGAGUCUGUUUCUGACCGUUUGAGCAGACACAUGCACAUUUGUGGCCUGCUGGAGGUCAUUUUGCAGGGCUCUGGCAGUGCUCCUCCUUGCACAAAGGCGGAGGUAGCGGUCCUGCUGCUGGGUUGUUGCCCUCCUACAGCCUCCUCCGCGUCUCCUGAUGUACUGGCCUGUCUCCUGGUAGCGCCUCCAUGCUCUGGACACUACGCUGACAGACACAGCAAACCUUCUUGCCACAGCUCGCAUUGAUGUGCCCUCCUGGAUGAGCUGCACUACCUGAGCCACUUGUGUGGGUUGUAGACUCCGUCUCAUGCUACCACUAGAGUGAAAGCACCGCCAGCAUUCAAAAGUGACCAAAACAUCAGCCAGGAAGCAUAGGAACUGAGAAGUGGUCAGUGGUCACCACCUGCAGAACCACUCCUUUAUUGGGGGUGUCUUGCUAAUUGCCUAUAAUUUCCACCUUUUGUCUAUUCCAUUUGCACAACAGCAUGUGAAAUUUAUUGUCAAUCAGUGUUGCUUCCUAAGUGGACAGUUUGAUUUAACAGAAGUGUGAUUGACUUGGAGUUACAUUGUGUUGUUUAAGUGUUCCCUUUUAUUUUUUUGAGCAGUGUAUGACUUGAGUAAGACAGUUGAUUUUUGUAUGUAAUGUGUCCUUUAUUUGCUGUUUGUCUUCUGUGUGAUAGCACUCUAUGAUGGCGUAUACAAGCAGGUGGGCCGCAUGCUUGCUGUCUGUCUGGUACAUGGGGUGUAGAGCAACAUUUUUUCAGGGGCUAUACAGGCAAGUGUGUGGCCUACAACCUCCUGUGCCAGAACUGAAAGAAAUUGUGAAAUAUGACUUCAGAGAGAAGUUGGAGAAGGGGGGAACACAUACCCUUUAACCAUGGAGAAGGUUUUCAUUUUCACUUCGGGGGCUUCAGCAUUCCUAGGCUGGUAUUGCCAGUGGAGCCACAGCUACAGUUCUCUCUGCUACCGCACGGCAAGCGUUACCGUAGCGCCAAGUCUAGGUCCAAGAGGCUUCUAAUCAGAUUCUAUCCCCAAGCCAUAAGACUACUGAACAUCUAAUCAAAUGGCUGCCCAGACUAUUUGCUGCUACUCUAUCUAUGCAUUGUCACUUUAAUAUCUCUACCUACAUGUAUAUAUUAACUCGACUAACUGGUGCCCCCGCACAUUCUCUGUACCAGUAUCCCCUGUAUAUAGCCUCGCUAUUGUUAUUUUACUGAUGCUCUUUAAUGAUUUUCUUUUCUGUAGUUUUUUUUAAACUGCAUUGUUGGUUAAGCAUUUCACUGUAAGGUCUACUAUACCUGUUGUGUUUGGCGCAUGUGACAAAUACGAUUUAAUUUAAGGGGAAUUAUCCAAAAUGUUUAUUGCAUGACUACCUAGUAAGUCAGGAAUACAGCAGCCAAUGUUAAUUGGUGAUAUGUCACAAAAUAAUUGAUAUUAUGAAAGUUUCAUAUAAGAUUGUCCAUCAGCAAAAAAAAGUUGUGUAGUGAAAGUUUAAAAAAAACAUUACAACCUUCCAAAAUCAAAUGGACACAGUAAUACAUAAUGCAGCUUUAAUAUUUAAAUAAAUGUAUGAUUUCAUAGAGUAGGUAAACUGAGCAUGAUGCAAAGUAGUUAAGUCAUGUAUGUCAAGGGACUAUGUUACAAUAUGUGCAAUGUUGCCAUAAAUAAAUCUUACAGUAAAUAUGGA